rnacentral:rRNA from 1 species
CUACGGGGGGCUGCAGUGGGGAAUAUUGCACAAUGGGCGCAAGCCUGAUGCAGCCAUGCCGCGUGUAUGAAGAAGGCCUUCGGGUUGUAAAGUACUUUCAGCGGGGAGGAAGGGAGUAAAGUUAAUACCUUUGCUCAUUGACGUUACCCGCAGAAGAAGCACCGGCUAACCCCGUGCCAGCAGCCGCGGUAAUACGGAGGGUGCAAGCGUUAAUCGGAAUUACUGGGCGUAAAGCGCACGCAGGCGGUUUGUUAAGUCAGAUGUGAAAUCCCCGGGCUCAACCUGGGAACUGCAUCUGAUACGGGCAAGCUUGAGGAUCGUAGAGGGGGGUAGAAUUCCAGGUGUAGCGGUGAAAUGCGUAGAGAUCUGGAGGAAUACCGGUGGCGAAGGCGGCCCCCUGGACGAAGACUGACGCUCAGGUGCGAAAGCGUGGGGAGCAAACAGGAUUAGAUACCCCUGUAGUC